AUGAGACGCGCCCCAGGGAGGGGCCAUCAGACAGGAGGUCACCCUGGGCCCUGCUCAUCAGACGGUAGUGGUGGACAGCACCGCACCCAAGUGUGUUCUGGAACCGGGCUGAGGGGCACUGGGACAGACCCCCUCCACCGCCACUGUGUGACGCAGGUCAGCUCACUUCCCUCUCUGAGCCUCAGCUUCCUCAUUUGCAAAAUGAGACUGGAGACACGCCCUACUAAGCCUGUGAGCCUGCAGCCACUCUGUCCCCCACUUUCCUGCGCACCCUCCCACCCCGCCGGCUCCAAUCCUCCCGGCAGUCGGCAGAGUGGACUGAGGGGCCCUUGGUUCAAGGCCUGGGUCCACCAACCUCCAAGCAACAUGGCCCUGUCCUCUUCUGAAAACCCUCUGCAGCCACCAAGGAAAGGAGAAGGGCGCACAAGGGCCCAGGUGGCCUCCGUGCCAUCCCAGCUUCCUCCUCCGGCCACAAGGACACGAGGCCUGAGGAACGGACGGACAAGCAGAGGGGCACAGCCUUGCCUCCUGUGUCUUGGCUGAACCGCGGUUGCUUCUGCUCCUUUGGCAAAGCCACUCAGGACCACGUCCUUCUUGCUCACAAACCCUGUGGCACCCCAGGGCCGCCCGGCCUGGACCUGAGGCUCCGGCUCACCGCUGCAGGCCUGUCUUCCACCGCUCCUCUCCCCACGCCCCACCUAGCUGCACACUCUCUCCAUCUCCUCGGGCGGCCCCCUCCCUGCUCCCUUCCCCCUCCCCUCUGCCUUCCCCCCCUGCACCCGCCGCGCUGUGGAGGGGUGCCCGGCGGCCCCUGCCGCCAGGCUCCUCUGUCCAUGGGAUUCUCCAGGCAAGAAUACUGGAGUGGGCAGCUGUUUCCUUCUCCAGGGGCUCUUCCCGACCCAGGGAUCGAACCUGCAUCUCUUAUGUCACCUGCAUAGGUAGGCAGGUGCUUUACCCCGAGCGCCACCUGGGAAACUUCGCGUGGUGACGGUCACUAUCUUCUACUGGAAGCCUCCUCUGAGGCCUCCUACCCCAGCCCGGGCACAAGGUGGAUUCUCCCUUGCCCAGGCCCCUGGCACCCUUGGACCUGACAGACCUUCUAGCCCCUACCACCCUCCGUCUGUCUGGGGAAUACCUGGAUGCCGGCAGACUCCUCCCUGUGAGACUGUGAGCUCCCCGGGCCCAGGGGCGGGGUCUGGGUCACCUCCUCCCUGCCCUGGAACCGGAGAUCUGAACGGAGCAAGGACCCGGGGGUGUCGCUGGUGGUGAGUGGACAGCCGGCCGGCCAGACGGACAGGUGGACAGAUGGGUCCCAUGGGGGCGGCGCAUCCCCCCCCUGGGGGGGCCGCGGCUCAUCCCCCUCAUGGUGUGGCCGCCCACUCCUGGGCACGGAACCGCCCUUCUUCCAGGCAGCCCGGAAUGUCGAAGGAUGCCACCUUCCCCCUGCCCCCGUCCCAACUCCAGAGAGCAGGAUGGAAGAUAACACCCUCUGGUUAUGGAGGAGGGGCCUGAGGUCAGGGAGACAAGACAAGCUCAGGACCACACAGGGCAGGAAGCAGCUUCGCUUGGAGCCAAGACAGACCCCAGCUACCUCCAUGCGGCCCCCGCCCCUGCUCCCCCGUCCCGGGGUCUGGUCCUACCGCAUAGCACAGGGUCAGGACUGGGGCAGGGGAUCAUGCCUGGAGCCCGGCAGGCAGCAGCACACCCACAGCCCACCCCUGCCCAGCACAAGCCAGCCAUUCUUGGCAAGACAAAGGCCGGCCGGGGCAGAGCGGCUCUGGUGUCUCCCUGGUGGGUGUCUGGCCCCUGCAGGACGUCAGCAGUGGGGACUGGCAGUGGGGCUCGGCCACCACCGGGGGCUGCAAAUCAGAUUAGCCCCGGCCAGCCCCGGCGCGGCCGUCAGGAAGAAGAGCAGCUGCAGGCUCUGGGCCUGCUGCCCUCACCACGGGCACGCACCCUGCUCCCAAGCGUGGGACGGCCCGAGCUCCCUGUGGGGGUGAGGGCAGCC
rnacentral:lncRNA from 1 species